ACUCCCGCCGUUUACCCAGGCCGGGACCCACCCCGAUGUGAGUCCCACCUCCAUGGCUCCCUACCUUAAGAGAGUCAUGCUUAGUCCUGCCGCCGUUGAGCCAGGCCUGGGGACAACCCUGGGCGGUUGCCCCGGUUUUUUGCGCCCCUGGACUUCCUCUGACUUUGUUUCUUCCCGGGUGGGAAGGAAGGUGGAGUAAGACGCCUUACGUCCCCGACAAAAGCUUGGAUCGAGGGGUGACUUUCAAUAGAUCGCAGCGAGUGAGCUGCUCUGCUACGUACGAAACCCUGACCCAGAAUCAGGUCGUCUACGAGUGAUUUAGCACCAGGUUCCCCACAAACAUGCUGUGCGCAUCAGGAGAGGGGCGACCAUCAUCCGGCCGCACCCCGACCCUGUCACGAACGGCCCUGCGCACCGACCGAAGCCGGCUAUCCUUGGCCAACCGGAGAUCCGCGGCGCUACGGUAUCAUUACGUUUAGGGGGGAUUCUGACUUAGAGGCGUUCAGUCAUAAUCCCACAGAUGGUAGCUUCGCACCAUUGGCUCCUCAGCCAAGCACAUACA